rnacentral:rRNA from 1 species
GUUGAACGCUGGCGGCGUGCUUAACACAUGCAAGUCGAUCGGUAACGCGGGGGCAACCCUGGCGACGAGAGGCGGACGGGUGAGGAACGCUUGGGAAUCUGCCUAUCAGCGGGGGACAACACGGGGAAACUCGUGCUAAUACCGCAUACGCUCUACGGAGGAAAGCCGGGGACCGCAAGGCCUGGCACUGAUAGAUGAGCCCAAGCCGGAUUAGCUAGUUGGCGGGGUAACGGCCCACCAAGGCGACGAUCCGUAGCUGGUCUGAGAGGACGAUCAGCCACACUGGGACUGAGACACGGCCCAGACUCCUACGGGAGGCAGCAGUGGGGAAUAUUGGACAAUGGGGGAAACCCUGAUCCAGCGACGCCGCGUGGGUGAAGAAGGCCUGCGGGUUGUAAAGCCCUUUCGGUAGGGACGAAAGCUCUCGACCUAACACGUCGGGAGGUUGACUUAACCUACAAAAGAAGCACCGGCUAACUCUGUGCCAGCCGCCGCGGUAA